ensembl:misc_RNA
CAGGACAGGUAUAGCACAGGCGGCAACGUUGUGAGCUUUCACCAUACCACUUUGUUCAUGUACCUUAACUGUGACCUGGAGGGACCACUUCUAGA